CCUACGGGUGGCAGCAGUGGGGGAUAUUGCACAAUGGGGGGAACCCUGAUGCAGCGACGCCGCGUGGGUGAAGGAGUAUUUCGGUAUGUAAAGCCCUAUCGGCAGGGAAGAAAUUGGACGGUACCUGACUAAGAAGCCCCGGCUAACUACGUGCCAGCAGCCGCGGUAAUACGUAUGGGGCAAGCGUUAUCCGGAUUCACUGGGUGUAAAGGGAGCGUAGACGGCCAUGCAAGCCAGGGGUGAAAGCCCGGGGCCCAACCCCGGGACUGCCCUUGGAACUGCAUGGCUGGAGUGCGGGAGGGGCAGGCGGAAUUCCGGGUGUAGCGGUGAAAUGCGUAGAUAUCAGGAGGAACACCGGCGGCGAAGGCGGCCUGCUGGACCGCGACUGACGUUGAGGCUCGAAAGCGUGGGGAGCGAACAGGAUUAGAUACCCUAGUAGUC
rnacentral:rRNA from 1 species